AUGCCCUCGACGAACCACGGCAACGCGGGGAGGCGCAGGUCCUCCGUGUGGGACGGCUUCCACCGCGUCAGCGUCUCGGGCGCCGCCGGACCGUGCGCCAUGGCGACGUGCAACAGGUGCGGCACCACCCUCCAUGCCAGCACAAAGAAGCACGGGACCUCGCACCUACGCCGGCACGCCAACAGCAGCUGCUGCGCGAGGCGGGCCGCCGAACGCGAUGCCAAGUGGUUGGAUGAACUUCUGAUCGAGCCUGAGUUCGACCUCUCCGGCCGCCUCAUCAUCGAAGGAGUGGACGGGGAAGUGGAUGCGGCGGCGGCCGCCGGAGAUGAUGGACGUCUUUCCCCCAACAUCAUUCCAGAUGCGCUGCCCCAGGCAUCAUCUUCCUCGUCCAAGCGCUUCUUCCAGAAGAAAAGAAAGAGGUCUGCCAACUUGGCUUCGCACGAAGGAGAGACAGCAGGUGACGACGACCAUUCUUCUCAAGAAAAUAAUGGUAGACCAGCACUUCAAGCCUAG
rnacentral:rRNA from 1 species